AAGAAGCGAAAGUGACGGUACCUGCAAAAGAAGCACCGGCUAACUAUGUGCCAGCAGCCGCGGUAAUACAUAGGGUGCAAGCGUUGUCCGGAAUUAUUGGGCGUAAAGAGCUCGUAGGUGGUUAGUUACGUCGGGUGUGAAACUCUGGGGCUCAACCCCAGACCUGCACUCGAUACGGGCUAGCUAGAGUUUGGUAGGGGAGACUGGAAUUCCUGGUGUAGCGGUGGAAUGCGCAGAUAUCAGGAGGAACACCAAUGGCGAAGGCAGGUCUCUGGGCCAAUACUGACACUGANGAGCGAAAGCGCGGGGAGCGAACAGGAUUAGAUACCCUGGUAGUCCGCGCCGU
rnacentral:rRNA from 1 species